UACGAAGGGGGCUAGCGUUGCUCGGAUUGACUGGGCGUAAAGGGCGCGUAGGCGGUUUGUACAGUCAGACGUGAAAUUCCUGGGCUCAACCUGGGGGCUGCGUUUGAUACGUGCGAGCUUGAGUUCGGAAGAGGGUCGUGGAAUUCUCAGUGUAGAGGUGAAAUUCGUAGAUAUUGGGAAGAACACCGGUGGCGAAGGCGGCGACCUGGUCCGAUACUGACGCUGAGGCGCGAAAGCGUGGGGAGCAAACAGG
rnacentral:rRNA from 1 species